UUUUCCAUCUCAUGAUUGUUGAAUCCGAGCCAAAAAGAAAGGACAAUAAAUUUAAACUACUCUCUGUUGCCAUGGCAGUACUUGAAUGACGCGUGCACAUUUGUAUUGAGACUUUGAG
rnacentral:ribozyme from 15 species